GACUCUGUGGCCUAAUGGAUAUGGCGUCGGACUUCGGAUCCGAAGAUUGCGAGUUCGAGUCUCGUCAGAGUCA
rnacentral:tRNA from 1 species